rnacentral:rRNA from 1 species
AUGAGUCGUCAUGAUGGCAUCAACAUCCCUGAUGAGACGUUCUACCUUGGAGAUGCUAACUAUGCAUGUCGGCCAGGUGUUCUUCCACCCUUCAGAAAAACCAGGUACCAUCUGAACGAGUUUGUUGGUAGGAACUAUCCUAAGACUCCUCAGGAACUGUUCAAUUUCAGACACUCCAACCUUAGCGUCACUGUUGAGAGGUUUGGAGCUUUGAAGAACAGGUUUAAGAUCCUAGAUCAGAAGCCAUUCCACGCUUACCCUACCCAGGUGAAGCUUGUUCUUGCAUGUUGCAUCAUUCACAACUGGAUCCUGCAAUGGGGAGUUGAUGAAUUUGUGUCGGAGGAGGAAGAUGUGACUCCUGAUGAGGUGAUCAGCUCCUGCCAUAGUGUGGAGGCGUUCGACAAUGAAGCGUGGAAGAACAAAAGGUUGGAGUGGGCUCAUGCAAUGUGGGAUAACAGAGACCAGACAAGAAUCUGA